GACAGAGGAUGCAAGCGUUAUCCGGAAUGAUUGGGCGUAAAGCGUCUGUAGGUGGCUUUUCAAGUCCGCCGUCAAAUCCCAGGGCUCAACCCUGGACAGGCGGUGGAAACUACCAAGCUGGAGUACGGUAGGGGCAGAGGGAAUUUCCGGUGGAGCGGUGAAAUGCGUAGAUAUCGGAAGGAACGCCGGUGGCGAAAGCGACGCGCUGGACCUCUACUGACGCUGAGGCGCGAAAGCCAGGGGAGCAAACGGG
rnacentral:rRNA from 1 species